GAAAAGAAAAGAUGUAUUUUUGAGGUUUGUACGGGGUAGUAUUAAUUGGAUGUGAGGAUUGAAUGAUAUUAUAUGGGUUUGAUAGAAGAGAAGGAAGAGUUAAAGAUUAGAUAAGAUUAAAGGUUUGGUGAUGAGGGUAUAUGUUAUUGUUAUUAAUAGAGGUUAGAUUUAUUAAAGAUAGGUAAUAGGUAAAGCGUUUGUUUGUAGUGUGGGAGAUUUGGGUUCG
rnacentral:misc_RNA from 1 species